AGGGGAUCGGCUUCGGAGAAUUCGAUCGGGAACGGGGAGCUGCACUCAAUCCAAAGGUAAUCAGGAGGAGUAGUCUAUAGCCUUUAUUUCGAGUUGGAGUCCUUGCUCUGAUACGUAGCACUCGGGGGGGGGGGGGAAAUGGACGCUUGUUUUCCUUCUGUUAUAAUUUGAAUUAAGUUGUUAUUUGAGAAGUUGUUUCUGUUUUAAGUUGUGGGCAAGAUACUAUGUUUUCUUUAAGUUUUAAAGACAUUGGAUUCGCUGCAUAACUAUUUGUCAAAGUGAACUAGUUCAAAGACUAAUUAACUGUCACAAGAGCAUUUAAGUUUA